UACGUAGGGUCCAAGCGUUAAUCGGAAUUACUGGGCGUAAAGCGUGCGUAGGCGGUUUCGCAAGUCCGAUGUGAAAUCCCCGGGCUUAACCUGGGAACUGCGUUGGAAACUACGAAGCUAGAGUGCGGCAGAGGGGGGUGGAAUUCCAGGUGUAGCAGUGAAAUGCGUAGAUAUCUGGAGGAACACCGGUGGCGAAGGCGGCAUCCUGGACCAAUUCUGACGCUGAGGAGCGAAAGCCAGGGGAGCAAACGGG
rnacentral:rRNA from 1 species